rnacentral:rRNA from 1 species
UCCUGACCGUGCAAAGGUAGCAUAAUCACUUGCCUAUUAAUUGUAGGCUAGAAUGAAAGGACAAACGAGAAUACACCUGUCUCCUUUAAGCCCAUAAAAAUUUAUCUUUAAGUGAAGAAGCUUAAAUAAACGUGCAGGACAAGAAGACCCUAUAGAGCUUUACCUAAAAGCUACAUAAAUAGUAACUGGCGGUUCGGUUGGGGCGACCAGGGGAUAUUUAUCACCCCUAAAACAUAAGAUAUACUAAUCCCACUAAAGAUCCUUUUUCAAGAUCAAAGAAUCAAGCUACCUUAGGGAUAACAGGCUAAUCCUCUUAGAGAGCCCUUAUCGACAAGAGGGGUUGGCACCUCGAUGUUGGCUUAGGACGUCUCC